rnacentral:tRNA from 1 species
AGGUUUAUCGUUUAAUGGAUAAAGACAAAAACCUUCUAAGUUUUUAAUGUAAGUUCAAUUCUUACUAAACCUA